GGUUGAAUCACUGCCACAGUGAUCUUCUCUGUGACGAUCUCCUCUAACCGAUCUCCUCCGGCGACAACUUUCUCCGACCGAUCUCCUCCGGCGAAAACCUCUUCCAACGACGACCUCAUUCGGUGACAUCUUCCUCAGCGGCGAUCUUCUCUGGUGACCUCUCCUCCAACGACAAUCUCCUCCUGCGACGGUCUCCUCCGGCGAAAUCUCCUACUGCGAUAAUCUCCUCCGGUGGCAUUCUCUUACGCCAGCAAUCUCAUCCAUCGAGCUAAUGUGCUGUAAGAUUCUCCUCCCACAAGCUCGCGAGAAUACAUGAUAGACUUUGCGAAAUGGCAACUACAACUACUAAAAUUGCAGGAGCUAUGGUUUCUGAGGAAGGGAUCGUUGAAACAUUUCAUAAUGAUGAUGAUGAAGCGCUCGAUGCUGCGGAGAAUGGAGUUGCGGCACUAGAUUAUUGCCACUCUCAAGGAAUCAUGCAUCGGGAUGUAAAGCCGCAUAAUGUAAUGAUUGAUCAUGAGUAGCGCAAGCUUCGCCUAAUAGAUUGGGAGCUUGCAGAGUUUUAUCAUCCUGGAAAAAGAAUAUAAUGUCUGCGUUGCCUCCAGUCUUUGAAGACAAUGCAAUCAAGGCAAGGGGAUAUUAGGAACUACUACGGUGUUCAGCUUCUUCAUGCUUCAAUGACAAAGUACCAAGAUUAUGGUCACUAACAGAAAUUAUAUGAGACAAGAUGUUCUUCACAUU